rnacentral:tRNA from 1 species
GCUGGUGUCGGUUAAUGGUAAGCCAGCUGUCCUAUACACAGUUUAGUGGUCGAUUGCCGCAAAAUCUCGGUUCGAGUCCGAGCGCCAGUA